rnacentral:siRNA from 1 species
CAAGUAUUAGGUGAUGUGAUUUGC